AUGACAGUUAAGAGGCAGGACAUUUGCUUAACAGUGACGAGCAAAUUUAGUAGGUUAACACCUCCCAGCCGCCCCCACCGCGCUCCUUCCCGGGUCAGGCUCCUGGCGGCGCUGCGCGGGGCGCUGGAGGGGCCCAGGGGGCGGGGCACGGGGCGUGGGAGGGGCGGGGCGUGGGAGGGGCGGGGCGCGCGGGGCCCCGCCCGCAGCCGGCGGCGGAGCGGGAGGCAGGCGGCUGAGACGGGCGCGCCAUUUGCAUUCGCCCGCAGUCAUUUUUAUCCGCGGAGGAUUUCAAAGCCCCAAACAGAUCCACCCACUGAGGCGGCUGAGAAAAGGAGUUCGGCAGGUGCAGCGCUGUCAGGAGAUGAGACAAGCUAGACACACACCUGCUCUGAGACAGGGUACUUUCAGCAUCGAUCAACAGAAAACCUUGAGUCAACUUGCUAACCUGUGGGCUGACAUGGGGGCAGCCUUGUCCGGUGGGACCGUCUAAGACGAUGGGAAUGUCCAGUACGGCAGCCAUGAGCCACGUGUGGCCAGUGAGCACUUGAAAUGUGCCAGCGUGACUAAGGAAGCAUUGUGUUAGAGAGCUUCAUUCCCCACAACGUACCCACCCAGAUGCAGUGCUUCCUGGAAUGAACCAUGGUCUCCGUUUUUAUUCAAGUGAAAAUGGAUUGAAUGGGAAAACGAAAUAGGCAUGAAGCUGCCGGCCCUGAGGUCUCUGCUUGGAGAGAGUAUCCGAAUAACUGGGAGCAAGUGGGUUUCCAUAGACUUUAC
rnacentral:lncRNA from 1 species